UUAAAAAAGAUAAGCUA
rnacentral:tRNA from 1 species